UGAGCAAUCUGCCCUUCUCAUCGGAAUAAGCGUUGGAAACGACGUCUAAUGCCGAAUACGACCUCCUUUCGCAUGAUCGGGGGUGGAAAGCUCCGGCGGAGAAGGAUGAGCUCGCGGCCUAUCAGCUAGUUGGUGUGGGUAAUGGCCCACCAAGGCGACGACGGGCAGCCGGCCUGAGAGGGUGACCGGCCACACCGGGACUGAGACACGGCCCAGACUCCACGGGAGNAGCG
rnacentral:rRNA from 1 species